CCGGAUUUCCAAUGAAACGAGUCAGUUCUCCGCUGAGAUAAACUCGAAGCGUGAAUAUUAUAAUGUGAUAUGAAUAUUACAACAGCGUCUUCCCGCAGACACGGAUCUGAUUCACACCAGUGAAGGCUCCACAGCUAAAGUCCUGGACAGAGAGACUCCUUUGCCUAGAGAUAGCUCCGACACCGUCAGACUGGAUGCAGCUGAUAAUAGUGAGCCUCCGUUGAUGGACACCAGAACUCUCGCCAUCCACGUGGGUGACGAGAACUGCAACGUGCCGUGCUGGACAGGACCAGUCUGGUAAUGUGUCUGUCUGAUGGGCCCACCACAGACCAGGACCUGAGGGGGACAUUAAAGGAAAAUGGAAGAUGGAUCCCAGCUUUGGUAAAAUACUGUUCGGAAUAGGCGGCUGGCUCUUCAGGUCGAAGAGGAGGAACUUGGUCAUUAUAAGCCACACCCAUACACAUGAGGGAAACUGACAGAGUGCACGCUUGAGGACAUCUGAGACCGUCUGCACCUUAAACCAUCUCUAGGAACUCUGACCAAGCUCCUAACAGCAGACCUCAGUGAGCAUCAGUCCAGAGCAUGCAGAGUAAAACCAUGUAGAAGUGUACGAACAAACAAACAAAGCACGCCAUCACACUCCCGCCCAGCACCGAGGAAUCACUCUUAGGCUCAUUUGGAGAUAUUUGUCAUAUCUUUACUUCGCGGAGACACUUCAGUGUGUUUGUGAGCAGGAAAUCAAUUUAAAUCACCGUUUAAUGUAACUUGCAUAAUUGAUGUUUCAGUAUAAUAGAUUGCUAAUCAUCCUUCAUUCAGAACAGCCUGUAUUUGAUUUUUUGUUCAUUUGCAUUUGUCUGUAGUAUUGUCUAAAAUGGGGUUAAUGUGCCAGUACAUGAAAGGGUUAGGAUCACACUACAAAAAAUCUUUGCCUGUGUGUUUUCUGUUCUUAUUAUAUAAAAAUGCCAUUAUAGAAUUUUUAAAUUAAAUUUCCCAUAUACUUUCAUUUCAUACAAAACAUUGAUUAAAAUAUAUAUAAAUUUGAAUUUAUAUAGAUUAAC